UACGUAGGGUCCGAGCGUUGUCCGGAAUUACUGGGCGUAAAGGGCUCGUAGGCGGCCAACUAAGUCAGACGUGAAAUCUCUCGGCUUAACCGGGGAACUGCGUCUGAUACUGGAUGGCUUGAGUUUGGGAGAGGGAUGCGGAAUUCCAGGUGUAGCGGUGAAAUGCGUAGAUAUCUGGAGGAACACCGGUGGCGAAGGCGGCAUCCUGGACCAACACUGACGCUGAGGAGCGAAAGCCAGGGGAGCAAACGGG
rnacentral:rRNA from 1 species